GAAUUACUGGGCGUAAAGCGUGCGCAGGCGGUUGUGCAAGACAGAUGUGAAAUCCCCGGGCUCAACCUGGGAAUUGCAUUUGUGACUGCACAGCUAGAGUGUGUCAGAGGGGGGUAGAAUUCCACGUGUAGCAGUGAAAUGCGUAGAUAUGUGGAGGAAYACCGAUGGCGAAGGCAGCCCCCUGGGAUAACACUGACGCUCAUGCACGAAAGCGUGGGGAGCAAACAGGAUUAGAUACCCUGGUAGUCCACGCCCUAAACGAUGUCUACUAGUUGUCGGGUCUUAAUUGACUUGGUAACGCAGCUAACGCGUGAAGUAGACCGCCUGGGGAGUACGGUCGCAAGAUUAAAACUCAAAGGAAUUGACGG
rnacentral:rRNA from 1 species